AUGUUCAGGUAGACCUGUAUGCCUUAGUUGCUCCACUGAGUUCUACCGUUUGAAUCUUUGUCUUAUGCAUGCUACCAUGCUAAAGCAAAGUCACGAUUUUUGAAGUUCAAAAGCUCUGGAUUACACUUGCGUGUGCACUGAGGAAUGUCAGAGGCAACUUUGCAGAACCUACCGAGCCUGUGGAACCUGCAUGUUCAGAUGGAAUCACAAACAUCUGAAGUUUGGAUCAAGCAUCUUUACUUUGCGAACUGGAUAUCAUGGACUAAGAGGUUAUGGAAAGCUCUAUCUAACUUGGUCAUGGCUUGGAUGGUGAAUGAUCAGGGUGGCAUUAUUACCGUUCUGUAUCUUUGUGCAACAAGG